rnacentral:rRNA from 1 species
UACGUAGGGUGCGAGCGUUGUCCGGAAUUACUGGGCGUAAAGAGCUCGUAGGCGGCUUGUUACGUCGGCUGUGAAAUCCCGCGGCUCAACUGCGGGUCUGCAGCCGAUACGGGCAGGCUAGAGUUCGGUAGGGGAGACUGGAAUUCCUGGUGUAGCGGUGAAAUGCGCAGAUAUCAGGAGGAACACCGGUGGCGAAGGCGGGUCUCUGGGCCGAUACUGACGCUGAGGAGCGAAAGCGUGGGGAGCGAACAGG